UCAUCUCUAAGGUGCCACAAGUCCUCCUUUUCUUUUUGCAUUUAUUUUGAGUGCCUCAAUGUUUCAGUGCCCAACUUGAGAAAUAUUGGGCCCUUUGAGCUUGAUAUUUAACAAAUGUGGAAUACUGAGUAAGGACUGGGAAGAAAGCUAAUAGUGUUUCAAUAUUUUAAGAGGAUAAAUGAGAUAACUUGGGUAACGGGGAAUCAGUUAGACUGACAUUGUUCCUGGACAAAAUCAACAAUUUAGGAAAAAAUAAUUUUUUUGUUUGUUUGUUUUUUCUUUGCCUUCUGGUUUCGGAGCCUUGAUGGGUCAUUUGAGUCAUAUUUUGUCAUGUUUGGGUCUCAAUUGUAAAGGCUAGAAACUUAAAAAAAUUCUCACAUAACCACUUGACUCCAGAAACUGGAGCUUUAAGAACCCCAAUUAUUGCAAGACUCACAGUAAAUUUGUGAAAGCUGGCAACACUAAGCUCAUCUCAGUCUUCUGAAAUCAAUGCCUAUGGUUUUUCUAGAGCACUCAAAGCCCAGUUGUGGGUGGCUCUAAGGAAGUUGUGAACAUGUGGAAAAAGCAGGAACCCCUUUAGGAAAAAGCAGUCUGGGUGGCGAGUUGUGUAGGCCCGUGGUGCCCGUGCUUCACCAAUAUGAGAGCACGGGGACCCAGCUCCACCAAAAUUAGGGGCUGGGUCUCUCCUCCGGCCCCGCCUGCCACCCCCACGUGCCUCCCCCAGAAAGUUCCCCCCCAGCCCUGCCUGCUGCCCCUAGACAAUUUAAAAGGGCCCGGGAGGGCCGCCACUACCACCGGCAGUGCAACAGGGCUAAGGCAGCUUCCUGCCCACCCGCUCCAUUUCUGGAAGCAACCGGCAUGUCCCGCGGGGGGGGGUGUCUCCACACGCUGCCUCCGUCCUGAGCUGUGCCCAAUGGGAGCUGCGGGGAUGGUACCUGCAGGCAGCGGCAUGUGGAGACCCCUCCGGCUCCCCACCUAGGAGCUGCUGCCAGAGGGGGGUGCAGGUCACUUCCGGGAGCCACCCAAGCCCCUCACUCCAGGGAUCAACCCCACUGUAUCCCAGCCCCUUGUUCCAGCGCUCCCACUCCACUCCUGCUGUACCCCGCUGUGCUCCAAGCCUGGCUCUGCAGGUGUCAGAACCAGGGUGAAGAAGGGAUGUAUCCUGGCCCCAGCCCUGUUUUGCCACACACGGCAUUGGCUCCUUGAACAUGUCUCUGCAAAUAUUGGUGUAACUGUUUGGUUCGACUUCUUUUACUGACCUGGAUUAUAUGGAUGAUCUUGUCCUUUUUGGCCAGGAUGCAAACAACCUUAAAGACACACUAGAGAACCUUGAGCACGUGACUGCUGCUUUGGGCUAAGGAUUUCUUGGACAAAAACCAAGUGUGGUACAAAAGUUGAUAGAAAACAUCUGUGCUGCCAGAAAAAUUGUGGAAGUACUGGAUGAUUUCAUCUAUCCAUGCAGUAAAUUGUCAUCAAGUGGGUGCAGCCAGUCAGAUAUCUUAAGGAGAAUUAAUUUAGUAGCCUGCAGUCAAGGCAGCAUGCGGAGCCCCCUGGCUACCCCUACGUGUAGGAGCCAGAGGGAGGACAUGCCGCUGCUUCCGGGAGCUGCUUGAGGUAAGCACCUCCUGGAGCCUGCACUCCUGACCCCCUCCUGAGCCCCAACCCCCUGCCCUAGCCCUGAUCCCCGUCCUGCCCUCUCAGCCCCUUGGUCCCAGCCCAGAUCACCCUCCUGCACCCCAAACCCCUCAUCCUCAGACCCAGCCCAGAGCUCGCAUCCCUAGCUGGAGCCCUCACCCCCUUGCCACACCCCAACUCCCUGCCCCAGUCCAGAGCCCUUUCCCACACCCUGAACUCUCAAUUUCUGGCCCCACUCCAGAGCCCUCACCCCCUCCAGCACCCCAACGCCCAAUUUCAUGAGCAUUCAUGGCCUGCCAUACAAUUUCCAUACCCAGAUGCGGCCCUUGGGCCAAAAAGUUUGCCCACCCGUGCUCUAAAGUAUUACAUUGUUUUGUUUUUGAGUGCACUUAUGUAACACUAUAUUUGUAAGUUUCACUCAUGAUGAAGAGAUUGCAUUACACUACUUGUAUGAGGUGAAUUGAAAAAUACUAUUUCUUUAUCAUUUUUACAGUGCAAAUAUUUGUAAUAAAAUAUGA